CCUAUGAUUUUGUCUGUUUGUGCACACAGCCGACAGGUAUGAGCCCAUCGUGUGCAACAUGCAAUCACUAAAAUACUUUCCCCGCAUCACCAAACAGCACAGGAGCCGUGGAGCACCACUAUUAUUACAGCAACUCAAUUUCGCACAACCAAAGGAGAGAGGAGGUGGAGACUACUUAUCACUCCUACAGAGAGUUUCUAAGAGGAUAUGCUGUGGAGCAGGAGGGAGGCCGGCAGUGUGGCAUAGCCCUGACUGAGUGUCAUGACGGGAGGGAAGAGGAAGCGAGUUGUGUGUCCACCAAUGUUUGUCUUCCCCUGCGGUCCUGCCCGCCUCUGUCACACACUAUUGUGGCCCAGGCAGAUUGAUGGGCAGCAGUGGCAGGAAACGAGCUGGGAAAGAAAGAAAAAAACUCUGAAGCAGCCUUGUGCUCAUUCUUUUCUCAAACCUCCAGAAGUGACCGUAGUUUUACCGUUUACCCCACGCUGCAGUAUCACAGGUCAGAAGCGCUGAACCGGAAUCUGCUUUGAGAAGCAGCAGGAUGAAAAGGAAUCGGAUCCCAGAAGAGUCCUUCUGUUUUGAGCUGGGUUAUGAACGCUGGUCCAGAUGGCAGGCAACGGUGCCGCUUGAAGACUAAUAUUUUUGCAGAGGAGGCUGCAGCGAGUGGGCCGAGCUGAAGGAAGCGGCCCGACUGAGUUCCACAGGAGGCUGUGCUCAGGAAACCCAAACCCUCAGCGACCCCUGACCUCUGCUACCGCUGCAACGCUUGCACUAGAGAGACCAGAGAACGAGAGAAGUGGUAAAAGAAAAUGCUCUGCUGUUGUCCAGAAUUGUCCAUCAGAUGAGCUGCUAUGGUAUGGUUUGAGUGGUCAGAAUGUGAGAGAUGGUAAUCUGGACUAUUACUGUAAUCCUCUAACAGUAGUGGUAGAAGCGGCUGAAAACAAGCUCUCUCCGACUAUCAAACUUGCUCUGCUGAGGGUUUACAGG